rnacentral:rRNA from 1 species
UGGGGAAUAUUGGACAAUGGGCGCAAGCCUGAUCCAGCCAUGCCGCGUGAGUGAUGAAGGCCCUAGGGUUGUAAAGCUCUUUCACCGGUGAAGAUAAUGACGGUAACCGGAGAAGAAGCCCCGGCUAACUUCGUGCCAGCAGCCGCGGUAAUACGAAUGGGGCUAGCGUUGUUCGGAUUUACUGGGCGUAAAGCGCACGUAGGCGGACUUUUAAGUCAGGGGUGAAAUCCCGGGGCUCAACCCCGGAACUGCCUUUGAUACUGGAAGUCUUGAGUAUGGUAGGGGUGAGUGGAAUUCCGAGUGUAGAGGUGAAAUUCGUAGAUAUUCGGAGGAACACCAGUGGCGAAGGCGGCUCACUGGACCAUUACUGACGCUGAGGUGCGAAAGCGUGGGGAGCAAACAGG